rnacentral:rRNA from 1 species
CCUACGGGAGGCAGCAGUGAGGAAUAUUGGUCAAUGGCCGGAAGGCUGAACCAGCCAUGCCGCGUGAAGGUCAGUGCCCUAUGGGCGUUAAACUUCUUUUGUGCGGGAGCAAUACUGGUCACGUGUGGCCAGACGAGAGUGCCGUACGAAUAAGCAUCGGCUAACUCCGUGCCAGCAGCGGCGGUAAUACGGGGGAUGCAAGCGUUAUCCGGAGUUAUUGGGUGUCAAGGGUGCGUAGACUGUGAGGUAAGUCAGCGGUGAAAUGCCCCCGCUCAACGGGGUGAAGUGCCAUUGAUACUGGGGUGCUGGAAUGCGGAUGCAGUGGGAGGAAUGUGUGGUGUAGCGGUGAAAUGCAUAGAUAUCACACAGAACACCGAUUGCGAAGGCAUCUCACGAAUCCGCGAUUGACGCUGAUGCACGAAAGCGUGGGUAUCAAACAGGAUUAGAUACCCCUGUAGUC